CAGUGUCCAGGGAGCACAAGGCCUGGGGGCCCACAAACCUGGGUCUGUAUGCCCACUCUUCAUUAGCAGCUCCAGGACCAAGUGCGGUCAGUUUUCUGGAACUCGUUUCCAUAUCUCCACUGUGAUGUAAGGAUGUGCAUGGAUCCUAAAUGUGAGAAGCUGGCAAUCACCAGGUCCCUGGCAAGUGCUCAGAGUCUGAGCUACCAUCAAAAUCAAGGGCACAGGGGGAAGCUAACUGCUUCUCUGAAUACUCUAAGGGAGGCAGAUCUAGGCCAGGUGACCAGGGUUUACAAGUCCCAGGACAGCAGGUUGGGCUUGGUGCACGGAAGAACUGAUGAGCAGCUUCACUCAUGCAGCAGGACAGAUCAGGACAAAGCCAUGCUGGAGUUGGGGCCACACAUCUGCUGAAAACCCCCAACACUCUUUUUCCCAGCAGCAGCUUCCAAGCAAUUCCUGAGGCCCUCCCACCGGCUAACCAGAAAGGAACCCACCAUUGGUCUCCUUAGUAACGACUUCCAAGGCCCCUUGCACAUCUGAAAAGCGCACAGUGUGAUUUCCAGACCCAAGUUAGACAGCGAUUUCUUCAAAGUGCAACGCCCUCAAUUAAUGAACCCUCUGGGAAUGAAGUACCUUCUAACAAAAACAUUGUUCAAAAUAAAGCUGGAAAAAAACCUCACACAGCCCCUAGGACAGAGAUGUGAGUGUUGUUGCCCAGUCACAACCAUGACAAGGCGAUGUGGUUACACGGUAGGGUCAGAGGUAGGCAGUCUCCAGCCAUUCCCAGCAGGUGACCUUGGCCAGUUACUUGACCUUCAACUUGGUUUCCUUGUCUGCAAGAUGAGGAUGAUGACAGGCAACUCCCA
rnacentral:lncRNA from 1 species